AAAAAUUAAGUAGAAGAUCCACGAUCUGCACCGAUACACAGAGGAAGGUAUUUCAACAACUUACAACAAAAAGUCAAAAAGGGAAUCGCUCUCUUGCUGCGAUUCAUGAGUGAAAAUUCAAGAAAGUACUAUUAAAGUCAACGAUCACUCUCGAGAUACGAGGUGACUACCAUUCUUUAUCGACUUGAAGCUAGCCAGAUGACGAGUUGAUGUAGACCCUUAAAUGGUAAGUCUGAAUAGUGUCAUAAUUAAAGUUAGUUUAGGUUAUCGACAUUUGCCUAUUUAUUAAUAUAUAAAUGCAUGUUUCACAGAUUAUACUCGGGUUGAACUUAUAAUCAUCUUUAAGGACUCUCCACAUCGACGCUACUCGUGCAGUCGAAGAGCUCCUGAUUU